GGGCUAUGAUGAUAUCAAGAGAAAGGUUUCGCAUAUUCCUGAAAUCCAGUGAUGAUCUCUCUUGGCUGUCUGAGCUU